CAUAUAUGCAGCCACCUACAGAAACAUCAGCACACAUGAACCUACGGCAUUUCUGCACAAGGAUAUUUUCCACUCUCUAGCUCACUAAAUUCAGGUGGGAAGUUGGAUCAUGAAGGUGAUCAAGUUUGUCAUGACUCAUUCAUAACCUGAACGGUUACAGUGUGUAAUCACCACCAGGACAACAAAAGCAACAUUUUAGGCCAAUUCCCUCUUUACAGGUUAAGUUGUUUCUUUAUGACAACAGUGCUUCAGUGUUUAUGAUCAAGUCAAGUUUGACCUUUUGAGAA